AAAUUAUUAAAAGAAGAGAACAAAAUCCCUAACACAAAAAUCGUUAUUAUCAUUUUGGUUUCGACAACAACCAACGGCGGCGACCGUCUCCUCCAUGGCUCCUCCAGCACCGGUGCCGGUCUCUUCUUUACUUUGAUUGCCCUUCUCUGUUAAUAGCUUCUGGGUUUGAUAAAGUUACGCAAAGAGACUAAAAGAAGAGUGAUCGAUCGAAGAAAGAUGGCGAUGGAAGUAGUAACACCGGCUCCGGCACAAAUCCCAUCGGAGAGGAACAUCGUUCUCGCUCCGGCAACAACAACAACAACCGCCACUGUUGAGAAUCCACAAGAAGAACAGGAUCAAGUUUCCAACACCAAGAAACCAUUUCUAGUAUUUCAGCAACACCACCGAUUCCUCAAGAUCAAUCACCCAAGUCUCGUUUACCAACUAAAAUCAUUCUACCCAAUAGGAAACCGGAGAAAUGGUCCACCGGCGUUUCUAGAUUGCUCUGUUUGAUUCACUGUUAAGGUUUGUAUAAAGACUAGAUCUUGUUGACUCUUUCUCGAAUCUUACUUAGAAGAUUCUGAAUUUGUGAAACUAGAACAAAGUUUGUUGUUUUCUUUGAUUCAAGCUUUUGAUUUUUGAUGCGUCACAUGGAAGUCAGAGAGAGCGUGACCGUGAAAGAGCCGCUGGUGAUAAGGGUAAGAAUAGUAACAAUGGUUUGAAGCCGGAGCAACGCCGUGAAAGAGAUGGAAAAGCAUUGCAAGAGAAGGCAGUUAAUAAAGCUGCUGAAGCUGCGGCUGCAGGUUCUAGUGGUGGAGCUGGAGGUAAAGGAGCUGCUAAGAUUAGAUCUCCAUGCCUUUUGCAUAUCGUUACUUGAAGAGAUUCAAACUCUCAAGGACCGUGACCUUGAGAAGGAUCGUCAACUCAAAUAUCUUAUGGAACAAGCUCCUCCUCCAACAAUUUGCACAAAUUCAACCACCGGAUUAUCCGAAAGGGCAAAAUGAGACGACGAAGACGACGAAGACGAGCAUAGAUGACGAUGACGACGAGACUCAAGAGUAGAUCGAUUAGGAUUUGAAUCUUUAUAUUAGAAUGACUGUACAAUAAAUUUUAAUUUGUAUGGAGUUUAAUUUUUAAUUUAAUUAUAAGUCUUUUUUGAAUUUUAAA